CCAAAUGGAGCUCGUUGAGUUGAGCGACGUUCUCAACGCCUAGUGGGAUACGCCCCAAGUUCUGACAUCGGCUUAUUAUGAGUUUCUGAAGGCACGGUAAUGCCCAAUUCUCAAUUGUGAUUACUGUCAGCUCUUUCAUUUGAUCGAACUCUAGUACUUUUAGCUUCUGAAACCUUCCAGCUUCGAAAUCUAACUGGACUCCUGUGUAGGCAUCUAGCAGCUGGAGCUCCAGCAGAUUGGGAAGUUUCCCAAGAAUUGUGAUGGGGUUGUUGUCUUGUCUCAGCCUAGACCACUUGAGACGUAUUCUAACCAGGUCAUGAAGUUUCGAGAUCCACUGUGGCAUCUUCUCCAACUGCCCUUUCAAAUACAAACGUUGAAGUGGAGGAGGGUUGCCGAUUACUUGAAUGUUUAGAACUUCCUCCCUGUGUAGUGAUGUCAUGUUCAAGGAAUGAAGAUUCGUUAACAUUUGAAUGACUUUGCACAGAGUCGGACCACUGUUACUUGGUAAAUCAAUAAUCCCUAGCUUCCUAAGCUCCGUCAGAUAACGCAACUCAUGAAUCAUUUUGUGAUCACUAUCCGCCCUUACAAAUGAUAGCUUCUGCAGAUUAGUUAAUUUUCUUACUUCUGUUGGUACCUUGAAUCCGUUCACCGCACCAAAAGAAACAUACCCGUUGAUAUUGUAGCGGCAUAUAAGCAAGUGUCGGAGUUCUGUCAGAUUAGUCAAUGUGUCCGGCACUGAUGUCACGAAUGUCUGCUUGAGAUUUAAGGUCUCGAGGUGCUGCAAUCGACCAAUGGACACGGGGACCAUCUUGAUUCUUGUGUUGCUCAAGCACAAAUACUUCAGUAGUAAGAGAUCUUCAAUUCCUUUAGGAAAUGUGUCCACGGAUGCACCGUCCAAAUGCAGUGUUUUCAGUAGCUUCAAGCUGGAACUAAUGUGUGAUGCGAUCUUCAGGCCAAUGCUUGAUGUGAAUAAAGUACGAGCAUGACACAGGUUUUUGUUUGGCAUGUUGAAUUCAGUGUUCUGGAUUGACAGUCUCCGAGUCUUGUCUGGAAUCUUACCUUUGGCAUUUAGCCAAAUUGUACAGAAAUUCUCGGCUUCUGAUUUAGAGAGAGCAAUCUUGUGCAUAAGGCUAUGGAGUCGGCAAGUUUGUGGUCUUCCAGCAAAGUCCAGUUCGCCUGCCUGUAUUAAGUUCCUCUGUAUGAGCUCUUGGAGGUACUCUUCUCCAAUAUCUUCGACUUGUUUGUCAUUCUCUCUCCCUACAAAACCUUCGGCUAUCCACAAUCUAAUCAAUGUUCUUCGCUUCACCAAGUAACACUCUGGAAACAUACUCAUGUACAGAAAGCAGCACUUUAGACGGUCCGGCAAAUCAUCAUAACUCAACAGCAAUGCCCUUCUAAUGCUUGACAGUUGGCCUGAAGCGAGCUCUGUGCGUAGAGUAUCAUGUACUUUUCUAAACUCAGAUUCACUUUUCUCUUUGGCGUACAAAAGUUUUCCAAUUUCAAUGAUCCCAAUUGGCAGCCCUUCACAUUUUCUCAAGAGGUUUUCAAACCACAAACACUGUCUUGGUUCUGAAGGAAGCGCGCCACAUUUUCUUUGGAAGAGAUCUCGAGCCUUUUCCAAAGGCAAAGCUUGGAUGUUGUAGACUUCGACAAAGUUUUCUCUACAGCUGGAAGAAGCUAUAUCGCCUCUUCUUGUAGUGAUUAUAACUCUGCUGCAAUUACCUCUAGGUAAUGCACACCUGACAUCAUUCCAAACUUUUGUAGUCCAUAGAUCAUCAAUAAUUAUAAGGUACCUUUUGUCGUGCAGAUAAUUUUUCAGCAUGUUGACAAGAUCCUCGAGGGCUUGAGAAGAAUUCACGGGAUACUGAGCUGCUUCAUUGCGUAAUUUAUUUGACAUGAUGGAGAGGAGUUCUAGGCUGUUCAUAGACAUUGAAGCAGUGAGCCAAACAUGGCAAUCAAAGUCGGUCUUGAGCUGAUCGUACACCAGUUUGACGAGCGCAGUUUUGCCGGACCCACCCAUCCCGACAACAAACUUCACCUUGCAAGCACGUUCAGAAUCGAGUAUCCAAGAAGUCAUUUCUUCUUUUGGUUCCUCGACACCUACAAUUUCAUCUCCUGGAGUGUCCUCGGUAGCAAUUUCUGCCUGUUGAUAACUUGGAAUUGAAGCAGGAUGAGAGGAACGUCUAUUUUGAUAAUCAGCCCUCUUGUCAGUGAUUCUUUUAAGGUUUGCCUCGGUCUCGUUUAUAAAUGCGGCGAUGGAAUGCAUUCCUAUUCUUGAUCCUCUGUCAUACCAUGGGGAGUUUUGAUGGGAAUUUUGAUAUGCUCUCAUAUCAAGAACAUCCUCAAUGUCAUAGAUCACACCCCGAAAAAGGCGAAUCAACUCCUGGGUUUGGUUAUCCUGCUCUCUUUCGGUAUCCAUAUCUUUGAGAAUUGCUUUCGUCAUCGGCAGGUCGGUCUGCAACCUCUCGAUUCCUUCCUUAACUUUAUCGGACAAGGUCUGUUAGAAUUUAUUUCGUGUAGAUAUAAAUUAUUUGUGUCAGAUUCAGUUUUUCGUUACUGUUGCGUGAAGUGUUGCAACAGUUCGUGAAGCAGUUCGUAAAAACAGAAAUAAACGAGACACAAAUUUUAAUGUGGUUCGGAUACAACUGUACCCUACAUCCACGGGGACCUGCAAAUAAAAUUUACUAAUUUUUAGUUUUACGAAUACAAUAAUAGGACUUAAUCAAAAUACAAAGACUCCCUCUUUGUUGACGCCGUUCUUGUAUACUACGCUGAAUUAUAAAUCUUCAAUUUGCAGCACGUCCCUUGCUCCGCACGGUUGAACUCCCUUCAACGCUGAUUUCUUCAGUCGGCGGAUCGAUCUCCUCCCGAGAUCUGUUUAAGCCCCUCUCCCGAAGAACCGGUCUUCUUUUUGUAUAGAAGAAGCAAACUUGUGAUACUCGUUGAAUCUUGGUGUCUUCACCACAAAGCCUUGAAGCCGAUAUAUUUUUUAUGAAAAUCACGUAUCACGAUGGAGCAAUAAAAACGAGAGGAAAAAAAUAUUUCUCUGAAAUCUUCUCUCGAUAGAAAAACUCCGGAAGAGCAACAAAGAAAAGAGAAUUAUUUUUCUCUCCAAAAAGCCGCGCACAAUCACGUUCUGAUGUCUUCCUUUUUAUACGUGAUUGAAUCUUCCUAUACAAGAAAUAAAGAAACCCAUUAGGUUUUAUUGUUAGACGUACAAAGAAGAGUUUUUAAUAGAAAAGAAAUAUUAGCCCACUACUAAUGAAUACUUAAUUCCCAUAAAAUAUAAAAUACCAAUGAAAUAAAAUCCAUUAGGUUAGGGAUUCUUAUUCACGUAAGGAAAAGGAUUUGUAUAACAAAGGAAGGUCUUAGUCAUAGAAAUUCCUUGUUAACACAUCACUUUAUGUAAUUAAAUAAAUUAAUGACAAAAUAAGAGUUUAAAGCAUUAAGGAAACUUCCCUAGCUUUAGACACACGUUUUUCACACACGUGCUGAAAAACCGAAAUUAGAAUCCUCUCGGAUUCUAACAAUCUCCCCCUUUGUCAUCUAUUUAUUAUAAUCAAGUCCUCCCCUUAAUCAAAUACCUGAGAAAAUAAAACAAUCAGAUGAUAGACGGAAGCAAUAAAACAAAGAUCAUUAUCAACUCUUUCUACAACAAGAGUGGCAUCAACUGCUGCAAUAGUAAGUGCCACAGUUUCAGCAACUGUUCCCACAGUAGUGACUUCGGCAGGUGGUUCACAACGGAGUCAGCUCCCCCUGCAUGUGUAUCUUACUCUGUGAAUGAUCUUUAGGCAGCUCCUCUUGUAAAUGCAUUCAUUCUUCCCCUUUGCUUACUCGGCUUGAUACACUUGGAAGGCGGUGGAUGACAACGUGGUAAAUUAUCCACGUGAUAAAAAAAAAACUCAGCAAAUAAUGUCUGCAUUAGCACCCCGUGUUGUGGACUUAGAAUCCCACCGCGAUUCUAACACUCUCCCCCUUUGGCAUUGAUUGGUCAGAACAUUUACUCCCCCUAAAUAUAUGAUACAUGCAUGAACAAGGGUUAGCAAAUUCAGAAUAACAUCUGCACAUAUAAACUGUUGCAACAGUUUAUCAAACAGUUUAAGCUCUUAGCAAAAACAGCUUAGGAAAGCAUAUAGGUAAAAUUGUUCAAUUAAGCAGGGAACAACAAAAAAAAUGCAGUAGCAGAAUCAACUUCCCUUUACAAUGAAUUCCUCCUUAAAUGACCUCCUCCUUGAAUGACCUCCUAUUUUUUUUAUUGUUCCAAAAACUGUCGGAUGAACUGUCUCAACAGUUGUCUGAACUCCCCAUGUAUUCCAGUACUGUUCCAGCAAUUGUUUAGUGCAUUGUGGCAACAGUUGUUUGAACUCCCCCUGUGUUCAUGCCAACUUUACUGUUCUUUUUCUUUUCUCCCCCUUUCUGGGCAAUCACCAUGCAUAGAUAAAUUAACAUGGACUAAUGAUCUUGAUGUGUCGAGCAAUCUGUUCAAACACUUAACAAAAAGAUCAAACGAAGAGAGAAUUUUGAAAGUAAGUAAGAAGAAUCACCAUACAUGACGUGCACACAAAAUCACAAACUCACAACUCAAUACCACACGAUAAUUGCAAUGCGAAAAUCAAAGGAUAGUGAUAUCAAAUCCAACAUUAAAUAACAAAGACUACAGACUUUGCCAAACUUCCUAAGAAACGUGGAGAUGAGAGGAGUAAACUCAAUAGAUCCGGCUGCAACAAAAAAAUAAAUUUAACCGGCACAUAAACAAAAAUCCCGUCUCUCUUUCUCUCUCUCUCUCUUUUUUUUUUUUUUUUUUUUUAAAUAAUGCCUAAUGCAAGACAAGAAGUAAACAUGAGAAAUAAACAUGAGUGAAGAGACAUAUGUGAAUAGGAUACAACAUGGGCUAACAAAACAUAUGGGAUUUAUCUUCACAUUCACGAUAAAUGCAAUCCCCAAAAAUCCGACUGCCAAUGCAACCAAUAAAUUUAAUAAUCCCAAGUCAAACACAAAGAUGCUCUUAUUAGGUAGCGUACACACACGUCUAAUGGUAGCUUUUUCUCAUGAAAAAUAGAGCAAUUAAAAGGAACGAGAUUAUGGUGGUCGUGCAAUGUGUAGUCCCCUGGGCUUUCUAAUUGAGCCUUGUAGUGAGUGUUCGGUCAAGUGGUUUACUAGCUCGAUUCAACUAGGCUUCGAACUAUUCACUGACCAUAUGUAUAAUUUAUAUUGGUCGUGCAAUGUGUAGUCCCCUGGGCUUUCUAAUUGGGCCAUGUAGCGAGCUUUCGGCCACGUGAUUUACUGACUCGACUCAAAAAGGCUUCGAACUAUUCACUGACCAAAUGGUUGUAGAUAUAUAUAUUAGUAACAGUAGUUCAAGAGAGCUUUCAUUCAUUAAAAGAGGCAGAUUUUCCCUAUAAAAACAUCCAACCAUGACAAGACUAUUCAGAUAAAUAAAUAAGUUGGAGCCUUUUAAGUAAUCAUUUUGGGAAUUGGUGAAGUUCUACCCCCACAAAGUUUAGAAGAACACGAAGUAUCAAAUUCACAUUUGUCUCAAUCAUAUGCAGUAUGCUUAAUGCAGGUCCUAUAUGAGAUGCAAAAACAUAUGAAGUGUCCUACCACUAAAAGUUGCAAGUCUGGACACACAGACUGUUGCAACAGUUCAUGCAACUGCAUCAGAUUAAACAACAUAAAUUCCCAGCGAUUUUCGCAAGGAAACAAAUUUCUGUGCAUCAAGGGUUUUUGCAAAAGCAUCAGUUAAUUCAUUCUCCGUUGCACCAUAAUCAAUUGAGACAACCCCCUUUUCGACCAAGCCCCUUAUGAAAAGAUGACAAAUAUCAGUAAGUUUAGUUCUCGAAUGCUGAAUUGGAUUCAUAAACUUAUUUUUCGCAUACAAAUUAUCACAAUUCAGAUUACCAAGUUUUUUAUUCCCCAAACUAGCUUUGUCACAAGAACUGUUGGAACAGUUAGUACUAUCAUCAGAUGAGUUUAAAGAAGUAAUGGCAGAUAAACAAUUAAGAUCAGACUUCUUUACCCAGAUUUUUUGUUGAGUUUUAUUCACUAAAUCAACCUUUAUCUUGGGUUUUUGAGACGACACAAAAGUGUGAUCAAUUUUAGCGGAAAGUGGUGAGCGGGCCAUUAUUCUUUUAACCAUUUUCAAGUACUUAAAACACCUGGGUCGUAUAUGACCAGGAACAUGACAAAAAUGACAGGUAGGAACAAAAACUUUUCUUUGAAAUGGCUGUGUUGGUGCAACUGUCGCAACAGUCUGUGAAACAGUGGAUUGCUUAACAAAAUUGAUUUUUCUUUUAGGAUUUUCUUUCUGUUUCGAUGCACCAGUAGAUAGCUGGUUACCCCCUAUACCUAUACGACAGUAGUUCGGCUGAUUUUUGUUCAAAAUUUCAUUCAAAGUUACUCUACCAGUAUUAAACUUAGAAAUAACAUCUUGGGUUUGAGCAAAUUUAGCCUGCAAGCUAUCUAUUUCUCUACUAGAAGAAAUAACAUUUUGUUCAAGAGUAGAAAUUCUUACCUUCAACACUUUAUUUUCCUCUAUGAGAACAUGCUUAUCAUUUUCAAGGCGCUUAUUUACCUCAGAUACUUCAAGCCACUUCCGGUACAUUUUUUUAUAUACAUCUUUCACCUCUUCAAGGGUUGGCUCUUCAUCAUCACUACUGCUCUCAGAUUCACCUGCAAAAUUAAAUGAUGAAGUCAGACUAUUGUCCUUAUUUAAAGAUAAUUCAUCAUACCUGAAAUCUGUCGGACAGACUGUUGCAACAGUUCCCUCGGUUCUGCUCAUCGAAGUAGUACCACUGAAUGCCAUAAAGUUAGUGGUUUGAUCUCCUUUGUUGUUCUCAUCCUCAUCACUGUCCUCUUUAUCACUCCAAACAGUGGUGAGUGACAUCUUAUUUUUCUUCAAAGUGUUCGCACACUCGGCCUGAAUAUGUCCAAAACCCCCACACUCUCGACAUUGUUUUCUCCUAGACUUUGCAUCACCAAAAUAACCAUUAUUAGAAAACUUUUUAAAUUUGUUAGGGUUAACAGACUUACCUGAUUGAGAGGAAUUUUCUCUAUUUUCGAUUUUUUUACGCAGGCUUUCGAGGUUAUUUGACAUAAUUGCUAAGGAUUCUUCAACAUCAAUGUCACACUCAUGAAAUGUUUGGCCUUGUGAGAUGCCAUGGGAAGCUUCAGCUUGGAAUGCCACAUUCUUCACCUUUUUCUUUUCUCGAAUAUUUGCUCUAAAAUUCAUUUCUUGGGUUUGCAGUUUACCCAUGAGUUCAUCUAGCUUUAGCGUAUUGAUAUCUCUCACUUCUUCGAUUGCUGCAACUCUGUAAGCGAAUCUUUCUGGUAAUGAACGUAGUGCCUUUCUUACCAACUUUGUUUCCGAGUAUUGUUCACCUAGUGCAUACGAUUCAUUUGAAAUAUCACACAGCUUAGCGUGGAAAUCAGCAAUCGUCUCGUCCUCCUCCAUAUGAAGACUCUCAAAUUUCGUGGCUAGCAUCUGCAGCUUAGAUGUUUUAACAGUUGAUGUGCCUUCAUACGUCACUUGUAGGAUCUCCCAUGCUUUUUUUGCUGAUUCACACGAUGCUAUCAAUUUGAACUGAUUGUCACCAACGCCAUUGAAAAUUGAGUUUAUCGCCCUUGAGUUGUAAUUGGCAAGUAAUAUCUCUUCAUUAGUCCAUGCUUCUUCUGGUUUUACCGUUUGCAUACCAUCCGUUCCUUUAGCCAUGGGCGGGGUCCAACCAGUCACGAUAGCACGCCAAGCUCGUUCAUCAACGGACUUGAUGAACAUCUUCAUCUUCGAUUUCCAGUAAGAGUAAUUUGUUCCAUCCAAGAUAGGUGGUCGUACUGUAGACGCUCCUUCACGAUGAAGCAUAUCUGCACAAAACAAUUUAAAAAAUUAAAUCCCAAAAUCUCACUAAGUGUAUCUAGUGACAGGCUUUGAUACCAAUUGUUAGAAUUUAUUUCGUGUAGAUAUAAAUUAUUUGUGUCAGAUUCAGUUUUUCGUUACUGUUGCGUGAAGUGUUGCAACAGUUCGUGAAGCAGUUCGUAAAAACAGAAAUAAACGAGACACAAAUUUUAAUGUGGUUCGGAUACAACUGUACCCUACAUCCACGGGGACCUGCAAAUAAAAUUUACUAAUUUUUAGUUUUACGAAUACAAUAAUAGGACUUAAUCAAAAUACAAAGACUCCCUCUUUGUUGACGCCGUUCUUGUAUACUACGCUGAAUUAUAAAUCUUCAAUUUGCAGCACGUCCCUUGCUCCGCACGGUUGAACUCCCUUCAACGCUGAUUUCUUCAGUCGGCGGAUCGAUCUCCUCCCGAGAUCUGUUUAAGCCCCUCUCCCGAAGAACCGGUCUUCUUUUUGUAUAGAAGAAGCAAACUUGUGAUACUCGUUGAAUCUUGGUGUCUUCACCACAAAGCCUUGAAGCCGAUAUAUUUUCUAUGAAAAUCACGUAUCACGACGGAGCAAUAAAAACGAGAGGAAAAAAAUAUUUCUCUGAAAUCUUCUCUCGAUAGAAAAACUCCAGAAGAGCAACAAAGAAAAGAGAAUUAUUUUUCUCUCCAAAAAGCCGCGCACAAUCACGUUCUGAUGUCUUCCUUUUUAUACGUGAUUGAAUCUUCCUAUACAAGAAAUAAAGAAACCCAUUAGGUUUUAUUGUUAGACGUACAAAGAAGAGUUUUUAAUAGAAAAGAAAUAUUAGCCCACUACUAAUGAAUACUUAAUUCCCAUAAAAUAUAAAAUACCAAUGAAAUAAAAUCCAUUAGGUUAGGGAUUCUUAUUCACGUAAGGAAAAGGAUUUGUAUAACAAAGGAAGGUCUUAGUCAUAGAAAUUCCUUGUUAACACAUCACUUUAUGUAAUUAAAUAAAUUAAUGACAAAAUAAGAGUUUAAAGCAUUAAGGAAACUUCCCUAGCUUUAGACACACGUUUUUCACACACGUGCUGAAAAACCGAAAUUAGAAUCCUCUCGGAUUCUAACAAGGUCCAUUCUUUAGUCAACCAAUUGUCUGUUUUUUCGAUUAAAUAGGUGGCUGCGGCCUCGGCCAUCUCUCUAUUUGGAGUCUAAUAUCUCAAAUAGCAAUGGUAGAUUUGAAGGCUAAAGAGACAAUACUUGGUAAGAAAUAUCACUUUUACUUAUUCUUUUAUGAAAUGGGAGAUCAAGGAAAGAACGACUAGUCGUAUUAAACUUGAAUUUUCAUGGGUACUAAAUCUUGCUCUUUCUAGGCAUUCCGUUGUUUGAACAAGCAAAUUGGGAUUAUAUUACUGAGUUUGUUAUGAGUAGGUUAUUGUUUAUUGAAUAAAAGAGAAAGACCUGAUCAGAUUUGAAGUCUUUUGAUUUAACAUAUCGAUGCUCACCUACUUAGAUGAUUUAAAAAUUAGAGACCUGCUGAAAGAAGACAAUUAUUGGCUUUAAGAUAACUUUUAUCAUUGGCCUAUCACAUCAACAUGCUACACUGGUCUUGCUAACAAGUUGCAUACAUUAUUUAAAAAUAAUUUCAUUUCCUUUCUUUAUUUUAUUGCACUGCAGUUGUUCGGAUGAAUACAAAUAAUUGAGAUUCUCAUGAAUAACAAAAUGCAAUUUGAUUAAAUGAAUAAUAAAAUUACGUAGAUAAAAGUGAGGUUGUUUAAAGGCAAGUUGAUGAUAAUUUGGUGGUCGGGCUUGGUUAGUAAUUUUUGGAAUUGUAUAAUUGAGUUUGUCAUGAACAGAUUUUGUUAUCGAAUAAAAGAGAGAGACUUUAUCAAAAUUGGAAGUCUUUGCCACUUGCAUGAAAUUAUAUGCAGAGUUGUCAAAAUGGGACAAAUAGAGGCUUUAUGAAAUGGUAUUGGUGUAGGCCAACAAACAAGUUGCAUACGUUAUUCCAAUUAAUUAGGGGAUUAAUUUCCAUAUUGUAUGAAAUUAUUGAGAGAGGUGUAGAUUUCGACAGUUUUCCACUUAUUUGGAACAAAAAUAGGGAGUCGAUUUAUUUGGAGGUUUUGGGCUUAAAUGAAUUUUGAAAUUACCCUGUAUGGUGAAUUUUAAAUGUACUUGGGCGAAAUCAGACGGAUCUGAUUGGAAGUAGCAUCUGGAUUUCUUUUGAAAAUGAAAAACUGAUCUCAAUUUUGUUCAAGAAACAUUUGGAAAAAUCGGAAAUUGGAAUGAAAAGACUUGUUCCAAAAUCAUUUUUUUUAUCAAACAGAAAUUUGAAAUUUCAUUUCUUUUAUUCACAUGUAAUACUAAUAUUGAUACUAUAAGUGUAAUUGUUGGAGUCAUUUUCCGAAAGUAAAAUCGAAACGAAAAUUGAAAUAUCAUUUAUAUUGCACUACGAUCCAAAAGAAAAUCAGAAAUUUUGAAAAUCGAGUUUCUUUUGAUUCAAAAUGAAAAACACUGCUUUAAUAUUUAAAAAAUUCGAAUCACAAAUCUACUGAGUCGAGAACUUCGUUUCAAUUUUCAGCUCCUAAUCUCACCAAUUCAACCGUCUCGGACUGUAAUUUAACACAGCUGUCUUGAAACUUGUUCCCCUUUCUAUAAAGAUUCUUCACUAAUCCAUACCAAUUUCAGAUUCUAUGACAGAUCUUCCAAUGCACCGUGAUGAUUCCUGGAGUCGAUCUUUUGAAUAUGUUGAACAAGUUGUCGCAUUGAACCAUUUCUUUUAAGCGGUUCGAUAAAAUGAGGCGGCAUGUGACCCAAAUGGAGCUCUUUGAGUUGAGUGACGUUCUCAAUGCCUACUGGGAUAUGCCUCAACCUCUGACAUCGGCUUAUUAUGAGUUUCUCAAGGCACGGUAAUGCCUCCUCGUCAAUAAUGAUUACUGUCAGCUCUUUCAUUUGAUCGAACUCUAGUACUUUUAGCUUCAGAAACGUUCCAACUUCGAAAUCUAACUGGACUCCUGUGUAGGCAUCUAGCAACUGGAGCUCCAACAGAUUAGGAAGUUCCCCGAGAAUUGUGAUGGGAUUGUUGUCUUGUCUCAGCCUAGACUGCUUAAGACGUAGUCUAACAAGGUCAUGAAGUUUGGAGAUCCAGCGUGGCAUCUUCUCCAAGUGCCCUUUCAAAUACAAACGUUGAAGGAGUUGAGGCGGGUUGUUGAU
rnacentral:lncRNA from 1 species